rnacentral:rRNA from 1 species
UACAGAGGGUGCGAGCGUUGUUCGGAAUUAUUGGGCGUAAAGCGCUUGUAGGCGGCACGUCAAGUCGCGUGUGAAAUCCCCAGGCUUAACCUGGGAAGUGCGCGCGAAACUGACGAGCUUGAGUGCCGGAGAGGGUCGUGGAAUUCCGAGUGUAGAGGUGAAAUUCGUAGAUAUUCGGAAGAACACCAGUGGCGAAGGCGGCUGACUGGACAUGUAUUGACGCUGAGGUGGCGAAAGCGUGGGGAGCCAAACAGG